rnacentral:lncRNA from 1 species
AUCUCUCUCUCUCCUUCUUCUCUCUCCUCCCUCUCUUCUUCCUCUCUCUUCCGUGCGAUUCCUCCAUCUUCUUCAUCUUCCAUCUUCGGCUGCUCGGUUCCGUGGAGACCGAAGACCAGAGGAAGCGGCAGCCGCCGUCGCACGCCCCCUUCCGCCGCUCGCCGCCGCCGUUUGUGCCGCCGUCCGCCGCUCGCCUUAACCGCUCGCAUCUCCAUCUUCUCCUUGCAUCUUCGAACCCAGCAACCGGAAGAAGACCUCAGCAGCUGCAGGAGAUCCGCCGAAGCCGUUGUAGCCUCCAUGCGUCGCCAUCGCCGCCAUCGCGCCGGACCGCUGUUGGCCGACCCCUCUCCUUUCCCCUUCCUCUCUUUCGCCGACUCUCUCUCCUGCUCCUUUCCGUUCGACGCCCAGAAAUUUUAGAGCGCAGGAGCUGCCGGAGCUCCCUUCGGCCACCGUGAGGCCUCGCCUAGCCGCCGCCUGGCCCGUCCAAGCCCCGCCAGUCCUCCUCCGUCGUCCCUCCGCCCGAACCGGUGCCGGAUCUGCUCCCUCUCGGCCCCGAUCAGCAACCCAGAAAAUGGGUAUGGCAGCCCAUGUUUGGCCCGUUUUGGCCGCCUUCCCGAGCCCGGAUGCUCGGCCCGCUUUGAGGAAAGUUGUUCUCCUUGGCGUCCUCGUCGUUUUGGUUCGUUCGGCUCGCUAAUCCGGUGAGUUUAACUCACUAAACCUCGCUUAGAGGGUUAAUGAUGCUUUAGGGAGGUUUAGUUUAUGUUAAGUAUUAUUAGGUUGUUAGUUUAGGUUAAUUAAGAGUAGAUUUGAUUAAGGUUGUGGUUUAAUUUAAAGUGUGCUUAAUUAAGGGUAAGUAGGUUUAUUUAAAAUAAGUCUUGAUUUGACUUAAAUGAAUUUACUUUUGAUUUAUUUAAAUGUCUCGAAAUUAUUAUAUAAUUUAAUAAUAUAUUUUAUUCGAAAUUAAUAAAAUAUUAUUAUUUAAUUAUUUUGGGAAUAAAUUUAAUUAUUUAUUAAAUUUCGAAAAUUUUGUCGGGACCCUAAAUUCUCAGAAUUUCGUGCCAGUCGCUGCUGUAUAGUCGGAUUUUGAAAUUAAUAAUUGGAUAUUAUGAAUUGAGUGUGGAUCGUGAAAAAUAUGAAUAUUAUUAUUUAAUUAAUUUUCGGAAUAAAUGUAAUUAUUUAAUAAAUUCCGAAAAUUAUUUUGGGACUUUAUUUUCUCAGAAUUUCGUGCUGAUCGCUGCUGUGCAUUUAGAAUUUGAAUUUGAUGAAUGAAUGUGGCCAAUUGAGUGUUGAUUGUGAUAAAUAGAGAUUUUUAAUCAUAAAAACCCAAGUGUCGGGUUUUAAUGCAAAAAUUGGAUUUUAAUGAUUACAUUAAAUAGUGGGGUUUGAAAAAGUGAGAUAUUGGCUUUCUGGAUCGAAAUCAACGUGCCCCCACACACGUGGUUAAUUUUUGGACUAUUUUUAAUACGAAGAAAAGUGGCCGGGAUUACUAUUUUAAGUGGAAGCAUUGAGUGAAAUGCAAAGUGUCCUGGGCCGAAUAUGAAUUGUUGUGUGAUAACUAAGAGGAAUCGUCCUGGGCUGUUGAGCCGGACUUGCCCUUAUAUGGGAUGCCCACACGGUGGAUGCGGGUCGCAGUUGAUUCUGGGCCCAUGCUCCUUCGGGAACGCCGUCGAUGUACUGACGAAGCCGUGCUCCAAGGUGGGGAGGCGAUGCCUGGCUGUAUGUCAGUAGAUAGCCGAACAGCGAGUAGGCUAUGCCCUUGUGUGGCAGUGAAUAACAAUUGGAAUGCAUGUUGAGGGAAGUUGAUGUGUCGGAUUAUGGGACGGAAUUGUGUGGCAUGGAAUGGGACGUGUCAUAACGAUUUAGUCUUACAAUCAGGACCCCCGCGGUUGUUGGUUAUAUGAAAGUGGAUACGUCCCGGUUGUUUAAGUUCCUCUUACCAUAUGUGAUUGAGUGAUUUGAAUUGCGCUAACCUGCAGGAAGGAAUUGAGGCGAGGUAAGUCUUCUGUGUGAUGUGGCUAGGCCACCCGGGGUGUAUUUUCUUUCUAAUAGGGGUUUAGGGGGUUGAACUUGCUGAGACAUCGUCUCAUCCCGGUUGUGGGAUUAAAAUUUCAGGUCCCUAGAUGGCGGUCAUGGAGGGCCCGGAGCCUUAAGUCUGGAAAGGUGAAGAUUGAAGUAUCGGUGAACGUGUCCUACUAAUUGGUUUUAGGAUAGUUCCCCUUUUGUCGAGCUGGUCUAUUUUGUAGACAGCCUAGAGUUGUAUUUAAACCUAUGUGUUGUAAAUGAGUGUUUGGCAUUGUGAUUGAUUGCCUGCUUUUCUAUCCCAAGUUAAAUGUUGUCAGGGGAUUUGUUUCGCUUCCGCAUGCGUAAUAAAAUGAAUGGGUCGGCGACGUAUCCUGCGAUGUCGCAUAUUUGAUCGACCGCAGUGGGAUGUCCGCGCGAACGGGGUUCGAGGCGUGACAUCCUUCUUGCCGUUUAUUGGGUUGUCUCAAAUGGCAUAUGUUGAUUGUAUUUUAGAAAGAUUCGAUAUGCAACACUG